GGUGGCGCAAAGCUCAGUGCUUGAGCCGCUGUGCCGCCCCUCACAGCUCUGACCACCGAGAUCAGCUCCCAGGGGAAGUGUUCUGGUCACCUGACAUCCUGACUCAGAGUCUGACAAUGGCUCUUAGCUUUCACAUCAUCUUGUAUGUGGGAGAUUGCCGCCUCUCUCCCUCUCCGCCCAGGGUGACCAAGCUGCUGGCAUUUCUGUGUCAGCCACAGAAGCUGUGAUGAGGAGACCAAGGACAUGCAUGGAAAAGAACAGGUGAUUCCCUCACGUCUCCACCCAGGGAUUUGCAGGCAGCAUUUCCCCAGGAACGUUCUUCGCUAGAACUCCAUCCUGUGAAAAUCAGUUGCCUGUCCACUGGGUCAUAGACCUUCCUUCUACAGGCUCAGGGAGUCUCAUUUAUGGCCAAAUCCUAGCCCAGUGAUGCCGGAAAGGACGUUCUGUGGCUGGUCCAGGGCUACACUGAGAUGACACAGGCAUGAAUCCCAUUCUUUGUUUCACCGAUGCAGGAUUCAGUGAAUCCCAUCAUCCACUCUGUGCCUCAAUCUCCUCACUGUUAUUUGGGGUGCUGUGAACUGGAAGCCUUCGUGUUUACGAACUCACUGGCUUUAAAAAAGUUUAACCCAGUAGGCUGAAGGACUAUCUCCUGUUGACUUCGCCGCCAAAAGAAAGGAAGUCUGACCCUGAGCUGCUUCUUCUCUAUUACGGGAUCCAUUCAUCCCAAUGACUCCUAAUUCUCCUUCAAGAACCUGACGACCGUCUUUCAAGUCCGUUCCUUUGUGGAGCCUUACCUGGCUGACUAUUACAGGGUUCAUCACGCCUGCCUCUGCCUUCCACAAACUUCUUCGUUUACAACUCCAAGGAAUUACGUUAUUGCCCAAUCAUUUCCUCGUGUGCAUCUUUCCCCACCCCCACCCCCCAAUUAAGAAUUCCUCAGCUGGACCUGGGUCUUAUUUAUCUUUGUAUUUCUAGCUGCUAGUACCUGGAAAGUUUUUCUUUUUUUAUUUUAAUGUUUUUUUUAUUAUAUUAUGCUAGUCACCAUACAGUACA